ACGGAGGGUGCAAGCGUUAUCCGGAAUCAUUGGGUUUAAAGGGUCCGCAGGCGGUUAAUUAAGUCAGAGGUGAAAUCCAGUCGCUUAACGAUUGAACUGCCUUUGAUACUGGUUGACUUGAGUCAUAUGGAAGUAGAUAGAAUGUGUAGUGUAGCGGUGAAAUGCUUAGAUAUUACACAGAAUACCGAUUGCGAAGGCAGUCUACUACGUAUGUACUGACGCUCAUGGACGAAAGCGUGGGGAGCGAACAGG
rnacentral:rRNA from 1 species